AGUACCCCGAGGAAAAGAAAUCAACCGAGAUUCCCCCAGUAGCGGCGAGCGAACGGGGAGCAGCCCAGAGCCUGAAUCAGUAUGUGUGUUAGUGGAAGCGUCUGGAAAGGCGCGCGAUACAGGGUGACAGCCCCGUACACAAAAAUGCACAUGCUGUGAGCUCGAUGAGUAGGGCGGGACACGUGGUAUCCUGUCUGAAUAUGGGGGGACCAUCCUCCAAGGCUAAAUACUCCUGACUGACCGAUAGUGAACCAGUACCGUGAGGGAAAGGCGAAAAGAACCCCGGCGAGGGGAGUGAAAAAGAACCUGAAACCGUGUACGUACAAGCAGUGGGAGCACGCUUAGGCGUGUGACUGCGUACCUUUUGUAUAAUGGGUCAGCGACUUAUAUUCUGUAGCAAGGUUAACCGAAUAGGGGAGCCGAAGGGAAACCGAGUCUUAACUGGGCGUUAAGUUGCAGGGUAUAGACCCGAAACCCGGUGAUCUAGCCAUGGGCAGGUUGAAGGUUGGGUAACACUAACUGGAGGACCGAACCGACUAAUGUUGAAAAAUUAGCGGAUGACUUGUGGCUGGGGGUGAAAGGCCAAUCAAACCGGGAGAUAGCUGGUUCUCCCCGAAAGCUAUUUAGGUAGCGCCUCGUGAAUUCAUCUCCGGGGGUAGAGCACUGUUUCGGCAAGGGGGUCAUCCCGACUUACCAACCCGAUGCAAACUGCGAAUACCGGAGAAUGUUAUCACGGGAGACACACGGCGGGUGCUAACGUCCGUCGUGAAGAGGGAAACAACCCAGACCGCCAGCUAAGGUCCCAAAGUCAUGGUUAAGUGGGAAACGAUGUGGGAAGGCCCAGACAGCCAGGAUGUUGGCUUAGAAGCAGCCAUCAUUUAAAGAAAGCGUAAUAGCUCACUGGUCGAGUCGGCCUGCGCGGAAGAUGUAACGGGGCUAAACCAUGCACCGAAGCUGCGGCAGCGACGCUGAUGCGUUGUUGGGUAGGGGAGCGUUCUGUAAGCCUGCGAAGGUGUGCUGUGAGGCAUGCUGGAGGUAUCAGAAGUGCGAAUGCUGACAUAAGUAACGAUAAAGCGGGUGAAAAGCCCGCUCGCCGGAAGACCAAGGGUUCCUGUCCAACGUUAAUCGGGGCAGGGUGAGUCGACCCCUAAGGCGAGGCCGAAAGGCGUAGUCGAUGGGAAACAGGUUAAUAUUCCUGUACUUGGUGUUACUGCGAAGGGGGGACGGAGAAGGCUAUGUUGGCCGGGCGACGGUUGUCCCGGUUUAAGCGUGUAGGCUGGUUUUCCAGGCAAAUCCGGAAAAUCAAGGCUGAGGCGUGAUGACGAGGCACUGCGGUGCUGAAGCAACAAAUGCCCUGCUUCCAGGAAAAGCCUCUAAGCAUCAGGUAACAUCAAAUCGUACCCCAAACCGACACAGGUGGUCAGGUAGAGAAUACCAAGGCGCUUGAGAGAACUCGGGUGAAGGAACUAGGCAAAAUGGUGCCGUAACUUCGGGAGAAGGCACGCUGAUAUGUAGGUGAAGUCCCUCGCGGAUGGAGCUGAAAUCAGUCGAAGAUACCAGCUGGCUGCAACUGUUUAUUAAAAACACAGCACUGUGCAAACACGAAAGUGGACGUAUACGGUGUGACGCCUGCCCGGUGCCGGAAGGUUAAUUGAUGGGGU
rnacentral:rRNA from 1 species